rnacentral:misc_RNA from 1 species
AACGCAUCUUGCGCUCUUUAGUAUUCUGAAGAGCAUGCCUGUUUGAGUAUCAUAAAAAUUUCAAAAUUAUUAGCUUUUCUUUUUGAAAUGCUUUAAUAAUGCUUGGAUUUUGGAAGUUGCUGGCUUUUUGAAUAAUUCAAUCAGCUCUUCUUAAAUGUAAUAGUCAUGAUUGCUACUAGAUCAGUAUUUGAUAUAAUAAUUAUUUAUAUCAUUACUGAAAUAGAUUUCCUUUAUGGAAAAAAUAAUCUUGCUUUAAAUUUAAUUGAAUAAUUUGAUCUCAAAUCAGGUAGGAUUACCCGCUGAACUUAA